ensembl:miRNA
AGCGGCCCCUCCUUCCCCAUCACGAACUACCUGGCACCAGUGUCUGCUAGCGUCAGCCCCAGCGCUGUCAGCAGUGCCAACGGGACUGUGCUGAAGAGUACAGGCAGCGGCCCCGUCUCCUCUGGGG